AAAGAUUAAGCCAUGCAAGUCUAAGUAUAAGCAAUUUAUACAGCGAAACUGCGAAUGGCUCAUUAAAUCAGUUAUGAUCUACAUGACAAAUUUUUUACUACUGGAUAACCGUGGUAAUUCUAGAGCUAAUACAUGCAGAAAAGCCCUGACUUCGGAAGGGGUGCACUUAUUAGGUAAAAACCAUCCCACCUUUACCGGUGGUUUUAUGGUGACUCAUAAUAAUUAAGCUGAUCGCAUGGCCUUGAGCCGGCGACGGUACAUUCGAUUUUCUGCCCUAUCAGGCUUAUGAUGGUAAGGUAGUGGCUUACCAUGGCUA
rnacentral:rRNA from 1 species